rnacentral:rRNA from 1 species
AGAUCCAAUAGCUUAUAUUAAAGUUGUUGCAGUUAAAAAGCUUGUAGUUGGAUUUGUGACGUACAUUUGGCUCCCUUUGCCAUUGUGUGUUAGUUUACCUAGCGUUUCCAUCCUUGGAUAGAAUAUGUGUGGCAUUAGAUUGUUGUGCAGGGGAUACCCAUCCUUUACUAUGAGAAAAUUAGAGUGUUCAAAGCAGGCUUAUCCCAUGGAAUAUAUUAGCAUGGAAUAAUAAGAUAGGAUCUUGGUACUAUUUUAUUGGUUCAUGUACCAAGGUAAUAAUUAAUAGGGAUGGUUGGGGUUAUUCAUAUUUCAUUGUCAGAGGUGAAAUUCUUGGACUUUUGAAAGACAAACUACUGCAAAAGCAUUUAACAAGGAUAUUUUCA